UUAACACUUUCACACUCUUGAGUGUGGUCUCACAUGUACUCCCAGCAGAGUUAAUUUCACUCUGGAUUUUUUGCUGUGCAUGUUUUAUACAGUCUAUGCCCUGGAUGCAGAAUCCAUUCAUCAAGGGGCAGGCUCAUUCAGAACAAACCACUCCAAGCCGAGCCCUUCAAAAACCUUGAAUUGGUGCAUGUGCCACAUUUGAAAAUGGCGCUAAAAAUAUGAUACACAAAUAUGAACAAAUCAGGCUCCAUUAUUUGGAGAAAACAGAUUUUCUUCAUAGCAUGGUAAAUGCAAUGUGAGUAAACUGUACCAAAAGGGAACCGUGUAGAUGCACCAGAUUUCAUCACAUUCAAAACAGCCCAUCCUAUAAAGAAAUGUCACUGGUUCAGAAUCAUAACUUAAGAUAUGUUCUGAUUGGCUAUAAUUGUGUUGCUCUUUGCAGAUGGUUAAAAAACAGAAAUUGUGCUCACAAUGAUCAGAUGAAUCAUGAUGACCAAGUUUGUUAUGUUGAAAUGACUGAUCCUGUGUAUGAGAAUGUAACUGAUACUCAACAUGGCUCUAAUACCUGUAAACCUGAACCGAACUCUUCUGUGUAUGAAAAUACUCCAAUGAAGAAGAUGAAGUAGUGUUUUGGAAAGACAGAACAGUUGUACAGCUUUUAUAAAUCACUUUGUAGGUGUAGGCCUGAAUGAUUGACAGGAGUGUCAUGAUAUGGCUGAAGUAAUUUGCAGAUCAUAUGGGUUAAAAUAGCAGUUAAAGGUUAAUGAAUUGUAAAAGUAUGUAAUCACUUAAACCUCUGGUAUUGUUCAUUUGGGAAUCACACUUAUGUUGUCCGUGGUCAAAACGGACACCUGAAAUGUAACUUUUUUUUUUUUUCUCAGUAGAAUCAAUGUAAUAUUUUUUUG